rnacentral:rRNA from 1 species
GAUGAACGCUAGCUACAGGCUUAACACAUGCAAGUCGAGGGGCAGCAUGAACUUAGCUUGCUAAGUUUGAUGGCGACCGGCGCACGGGUGAGUAACACGUAUCCAACCUGCCGAUGACUCGGGGAUAGCCUUUCGAAAGAAAGAUUAAUACCCGAUGGCAUAAUUCUUCCGCAUGGUAGAACUAUUAAAGAAUUUCGGUCAUCGAUGGGGAUGCGUUCCAUUAGGUUGUUGGCGGGGUAACGGCCCACCAAGGCGACGAUGGAUAGGGGUUCUGAGAGGAAGGUCCCCCACAUUGGUACUGAGACACGGACCAAACUCCUACGGGAGGCAGCAGUGAGGAAUAUUGGUCAAUGGCCGAGAGGCUGAACCAGCCAAGUCGCGUGAAGGAAGAAGGAUCUAUGGUUUGUAAACUUCGUUUUAUAGGGGAAUAAAGUGAGGACGUGUCCUUUUUUGUAUGUACCCUAUGAUAAGCAUCGGCUAACUCCGUG